GAAGUAUAGCCUAGUAGGUAGGGCAACAGUUUGCUAAACUGUCGAGUUAAUAGCUCUCGUGGGUUCGAAUCCCUCUACUUCC
rnacentral:tRNA from 1 species